CCGCUCCCUGCGCUGCCGGUGCCUCCCUCCUGCCCCGGGACUCAUCCCUGCGCUCACGUAGGCACAUGCAAAUCCCAAAUCCCUCCCUGCCCCAAACCUCGCCUGCCGCCUCCUCAGCUCCCCUCACCUGCGCCGUUCCCCCUGGGAAAUCGCCCAGUCCAACCUUCUGCUGCGCCCCAAACCCCAAUUUUUAAGUGUUUCGCGGUUUUCCUCACCCCACUCCUCCCUGCUCCAAACUCAAUCCUGGUUUUCAGAUUUCAUAACGGGAGGAGGCACCCUAACGCCUGAUUCCAUCUCGGUUCUGAUGGGCACGGAAGGAGGAUUAACACGCUGCAGGAUUGAUUAUCCCCCAUCCCAGAGACAAUUAAAGCUCUGCGUGUUUCGGGGAUGAAAGUGCAGCAGGGCUCUUAAACCUUAGAGCUGAAAGGAAAUCGGGAAAUGCAAGGAAAUCCAGCUUGCACAGAUCCAUGGAUCCAUCCAGGCACAGAAUUCCCAUGGUCGAACCAGUUCCACAAAUCCCAUUCAAGUGGAGGUGCAAAAGUCCCCAUUUCGGGGCAUUUAUUCGGGUUUGUGGCAGCUGAAUUUAAAAUAAGGAAGAAUUUAAAGAGAAGCAGGAGGAGGCUCUUUCCAUGGAUCUCCAGAAGCUGCGCCCGCUGCUUUGCCUCAUUCCUGCUUUUUUGGUUUUUUUCCCCUGGGAAAAUGGGCUCAUCUGGAUCCUGCCCAUCCCUGCUCCGAUCUCUCCAGGCUGGGGCAGCGCUGCCUCAUUGCCGGUGCUCUCGGCUCCCUUUGGAACGGGAACAGGAGCGGGGCUGUGCUGCUGCCCGGGGGUCACAGGAACAGCUGUGCCAGAUGUUCCGAGCGUGCGCCAAAAGCCCUGAAACAGGCGGGUUUCGGGUUUCGGCUCCGGGUUGGGACAGCGAGCCAAAUUCAUUAAAUAAA